GUCGACGAUGAAUCUUCUAGCUUGCUAGAAGUGGAUUAGUGGCGCACGGCUGAGUAAUGCAUAGGUUAUGUGCCCUUUAGUCUGGGAUAGCCACUGGAAACGGUGAUUAAUACUGGAUACUCCCUACGGGGGAAAGUUUUUCGCUAAAGGAUCAGCCUAUGUCCUAUCAGCUUGUUGGUGAGGUAAUGGCUCACCAAGGCUAUGACGGGUAUCCGGCCUGAGAGGGUGAUCGGACACACUGGAACUGAGACACGGUCCAGACUCCUACGGGAGGCAGCAGUAGGGAAUAUUGCUCAAUGGGGGAAACCCUGAAGCAGCAACGCCGCGUGGAGGAUGAAGGUUUUAGGAUUGUAAACUCCUUUUGUUAGAGAAGAUUAUGACGGUAUCUAACGAAUAAGCACCGGCUAACUCCGUGCCAGCAGCCGCGGUAAUACGGAGGGUGCAAGCGUUACUCGGAAUCACUGGGCGUAAAGAGUGCGUAGGCGGGGUAAUAAGUCAGAUGUGAAAUCCUGUAGCUUAACUACAGAACUGCAUUUGAAACUGUUACUCUGGAGUGUGGGAGAGGUAGGUGGAAUUCUUGGUGUAGGGGUAAAAUCCGUAGAGAUCAAGAGGAAUACUCAUUGCGAAGGCGACCUGCUGGAACAUUACUGACGCUGAUGCACGAAAGCGUGGGGAGCAAACAGGAUUAGAUACCCUGGUAGUCCACGCCCUAAACGAUGGAUGCUAGUUGUUGCCUUGCUUGUCAGGGCAGUAAUGCAGCUAACGCAUUAAGCAUCCCGCCUGGGGAGUACGGUCGCAAGAUUAAAACUCAAAGGAAUAGACGGGGACCCGCACAAGCGGUGGAGCAUGUGGUUUUAUUCGAAGAUACGCGAAGAACCUUACCUAGGCUUGACAUUGA
rnacentral:rRNA from 1 species